UACGGAGGGGGCGAGCGUUGUUCGGAUUUACUGGGCGUAAAGCGUGCGUAGGUGGUUUCCCAAGUUAGAAGUGAAAGCCCAGGGCUUAACCCUGGAACUGCUUUUAAAACUGGGUCACUAGAAUGUAGGAGAGGUAGAUGGAAUUCCGAGUGUAGAGGUGAAAUUCGUAGAUAUUCGGAGGAACACCAAUGGCGAAAGUAGUCUACUGGACUAUUAUUGACACUGAGGCACGAAAGCGUGGGGAGCAAACAGG
rnacentral:rRNA from 1 species